rnacentral:rRNA from 1 species
UACAGAGGGGGCAAGCGUUAUUCGGAAUUAUUGGGCGUAAAGGGCGCGUAGGCGGCCUGGCAAGUGGAAGGUGAAAUCCCUCGGCUUAACCGAGGAACUGCCCUCCAAACUGCUUGGCUUGAGUCCGGGAGAGGUGAGUGGAAUUCCCAGUGUAGCGGUGAAAUGCGUAGAUAUUGGGAGGAACACCAGUGGCGAAGGCGGCUCACUGGACCGGAACUGACGCUGAGGCGCGAAAGCGUGGGGAGCGAACGGG